rnacentral:rRNA from 1 species
CCGAAAUUAUGCUAAGUGUUAAAUGAAGUGUGGAUGCACAGACAGCCGGAGGUUGGCUUAGAAGCAGCCAUUUCCUUAAAAGAGUGCGUAACAGCUCAAUGGUCGAGCAUUCAUGCGCAAACAAUGUAACGGGGCUAAGCAUAAUACCGAAGCCAUGGACUCAUAUCUUAGGGAUAUGAUUGGUAGGGGAGCAUUCCAUUAACUGAAGAAGGAAUACCCGCGAGGGGUUCUGGAGGAGAUGGAAUGAGAGAACGCAGGUAUAAGUAACGAAAAGACGGGUGGGAUUCCCGUCCGGCCGAAAACAUAAGGGUUCCAGGGUAAAGGCAAUCUGCCCUGGGUAAGUCGGCCCCUAAGGCCAGGUCGAAAGACGUAGCCGAUGGGAAAUCGGUUUAUAAUCCGAUACCUUCCACAGUUUCGAGGACAGGACGCAUGAGGUGAAAUCCGGCCGGAGAACGGUUGUUCCGGUCAAAGCGCCGAGCCGAUGAGGACCGCAGGCAAAUCCGCGGUCCGAGGUGAGGCGUUACAGCGAGCGGAGAGAAAGUCGAAGCGAAGCGGAUGUAGUCAGGGUGCCGGGAAAUACUGUCUAAGGCUAGGCUGUGGGAGACCGUACCGUAAACGGACACACGUAUGUGGGAUGAGAAAUCUAAGGCGCACGAGCGACCUCGCGUUAAGGAACUUCGGCAAAAUGCACACGUAACUUCGGAAGAAGUGUGGCUCUGAUUGUAUAAGAUUAAGAGCGGCAGAAAGCAGGCUCAGGCGACUUUUUCAAAAACACAGC